rfam:Angiostrongylus cantonensis strain Taiwan genome assembly, scaffold: ACAC_scaffold0003863
CCAACGGCCCUCUUUAGGGCCACAAUUGGAGUGAAAUAUAUGAGCU